CCUAAGUCAGUGAUUUUAUUAAUUGAUGAUUUAUUACAGAAAUAAUGACAAUUUCAAAUUUCUUACGCCUGAUGCAGAAACUCCUCCGGGUCCAGCGUUACCAGUUCCGGCUCCAGCGCCGCUUCCAGUACCUUUAUAAAGAAAAUUUAUAAGUUGAUGAAAGUUUCGAGACUGACUUGGCUGACAAAGAAACUUACCGAGUUGGGGGAAUCCGAAGCCACCACCAAGAGGACGGACUGGACGGUUUCCUCCGAACUGAGGCCUAGCAACAGCAACGGCCAAGAGAAGAGCGAGAACCAAAGUAACCUGACGAGAUACAGAAGAUGAAAAUUACAAAUUACAGGUAAGAAUCGCACUCGCAUCAGACUAUGCACAUCGCAAAAUUUACCUUGUACAUCUUGAAGUGUUAAACUGCUUUGUUGGGAUGUGUAGCUAAGAAUGAGGUGCAGCUAUCGUCUGACUUUGCAGGGUGUGCAGUCCUGCUUUUUAUACGAUGAAGGAAUCAACGGGAGCUAGCGUGAGCAUUAAUAAAGCGCCCGGGGUCAAUCGUCCUUGAAUUCAUGGCCGGUAAUUUUGCACACAUAACGUGACAUCCUUGUGUUUUCCCCAGUUUGCCAAUAACGGGUUAAACUAGACUGCGAUUCAUCAACAACAUUUUAACUUGACAAGUGGGAAGUAUUCUAAUUCUAAAAACAUUUUCCGCCACUUUGGCGAACUCUUCCAUUCUGUAAUUAUAACCUCAGUAGUUAAUGGCUUUGUUCCAAACAUGUGUUGUUGACAACAACCCUGCAGCUGGGCUGGAGCGUUGGCCUUUUUGCACUUGCGUCCGUGUGUUGCUCACACACUUGUCUUUGUUAUUGCGUCGCUCUUUUAGAAUAGUUACCGAGUUUAUUUCAAAUGAUGAGUGACUCAUUCAGUGGAACUUGACAGCUGUGCACUUAUUGGUCGGCAACUGCUAAAUUCCGGUUUAAUCCACAGGUUCGUUGUAUGGGGCAUGAGUCGUGGCAGACUGGGUCGUUCUUGCUACCCAGGCGCAGGUCGUCGUAUUUUUCGUAGGAGCUUAAUAUAAUAUAACAUCGUAAUGAUAAUGUAAUUACGAUAUAUUAGGGAUGCAAAUUCAAUCAAUUUUUCCUGCUUCAAUGCCGAACAGGACGAUAGGGAAGGUGUGCAGCCUGCCUUGUCUCCAAAUGGUGUCUGCGUGUGAUGGUUGGAUGGAGUGUCGCGUGAGAAAAAGAAGCGUUCAUUCGGCGUGUCAAUCAGAUUGGAAUGUUGG